GAGUGAAAUAGAACCUGAAACCGUGUGAAAACAAGUAGUCAGAGCCCGUUAAUGGGUGAUGGCGUGCCUUUUGUAGAAUGAACCGGCGAGUUACGAUUUGAUGCAAGGUUAAGCAGUAAAUGUGGAGCCGUAGCGAAAGCGAGUCUGAAUAGGGCGUUUAGUAUUUGGUCGUAGACCCGAAACCAGGUGAUCUACCCUUGGUCAGGUUGAAGUUCAGGUAACACUGAAUGGAGGACCGAACCGACUUACGUUGAAAAGUGAGCGGAUGAACUGAGGGUAGCGGAGAAAUUCCAAUCGAACCUGGAGAUAGCUGGUUCUCUCCGAAAUAGCUUUAGGGCUAGCCUCAAGUGAUGAUUAUUGGAGGUAGAGCACUGUUUGGACGAGGGGCCCCUCUCGGGUUACCGAAUUCAGACAAACUCCGAAUGCCAAUUAAUUUAACUUGGGAGUCAGAACAUGGGUGAUAAGGUCCGUGUUCGAAAGGGAAACAGCCCAGACCACCAGCUAAGGUCCCAAAAUAUAUGUUAAGUGGAAAAGGAUGUGGCGUUGCCCAGACAACUAGGAUGUUGGCUUAGAAGCAGCCAUCAUUUAAAGAGUGCGUAAUAGCUCACUAGUCGAGUGACACUGCGCCGAAAAUGUACCGGGGCUAAACAUAUUACCGAAGCUGUGGAUUGUCCUUUGGACAAUGGUAGGAGAGCGUUCUAAGGGCGUUGAAGCAUGAUCGUAAGGACAUGUGGAGCGCUUAGAAGUGAGAAUGCCGGUGUGAGUAGCGAAAGACGGGUGAGAAUCCCGUCCACCGAUUGACUAAGGUUUCCAGAGGAAGGCUCGUCCGCUCUGGGUUAGUCGGGUCCUAAGCUGAGGCCGACAGGCGUAGGCGAUGGAUAACAGGUUGAUAUUCCUGUACCACCUAUAAUCGUUUUAAUCGAUGGGGGGACGCAGUAGGAUAGGCGAAGCGUGCGAUUGGAUUGCACGUCUAAGCAGUAAGGCUGAGUAUUAGGCAAAUCCGGUACUCGUUAAGGCUGAGCUGUGAUGGGGAGAAGACAUUGAGUCUUCGAGUCGUUGAUUUCACACUGCCGAGAAAAGCCUCUAGAUAGAAAAUAGGUGCCCGUACCGCAAACCGACACAGGUAGUCAAGAUGAGAAUUCUAAGGUGAGCGAGCGAACUCUCGUUAAGGAACUCGGCAAAAUGACCCCGUAACUUCGGGAGAAGGGGUGCUCUUUAGGGUUAACGCCCAGAAGAGCCGCAGUGAAUAGGCCCAAGCGACUGUUUAUCAAAAACACAGGUCUCUGCUAAACCGUAAGGUGAUGUAUAGGGGCUGACGCCUGCCCGGUGCUGGAAGGUUAAGAGGAGUGGUUAGCUUCUGCGAAGCUACGAAUCGAAGCCCCAGUAAACGGCGGCCGUAACUAUAACGGUCCUAAGGUAGCGAAAUUCCUUGUCGGGUAAGUUCCGACCCGCACGAAAGGCGUAACGAUUUGGGCACUGUCUCAACGAGAGACUCGGUGAAAUCAUAGUACCUGUGAAGAUGCAGGUUACCCGCGACAGGACGGAAAGACCCCGUGGAGCUUUACUGUAGCCUGAUAUUGAAAUUCGGCACAGCUUGUACAGGAUAGGUAGGAGCCUUUGAAACGUGAGCGCUAGCUUACGUGGAGGCGCUGGUGGGAUACUACCCUAGCUGUGUUGGCUUUCUAACCCGCACCACUUAUCGUGGUGGGAGACAGUGUCA
rnacentral:rRNA from 1 species